rnacentral:rRNA from 1 species
CCUAACAUCUAGCCCACACCACCCACAUGACUUUUUCCUACACCCCACGUACGCAACAAAACAUUUUAUCUCUUUAGUACAGGCGAUCGAAAAACUUAUAGGCGCUUCAGAUUAAGUACCGCAAGGGAAAGAUGAAAUAAAAAUGAAAUAAUUUUAAAGCCCCAAACAGCAGAGAUAUACCCUCGUACCUUUUGCAUCAUGGUCUAGCUAGUCUAACCAAGCAAAAUGUGAACUUUAGUUUGACACCCCGAAACUAAGUGAGCUACUUCGAAACAGCCCUAAGGGGCCAACCCGUCUCUGUUGCAAAAGAGUGGGAAGAUUUUUAAGUAGAGGUGAUAAGCCUACCGAACUUAGAGAUAGCUGGUUAUUCAGGAGAAGAGUUUUAGCUCUGCCUUAAGUUUUUUAAUUAACUCAAACAAAUCUUUAAACUUAAGAGUUAUUCAAGUAAGGUUCAGCUUACUUGAAACAGGAUACAACCUCCAAUAUUGGGUAAAUAAAGGAACCUAGAUAAAGUGGGCCUAAAAGCAGCC